rnacentral:lncRNA from 1 species
AUGGGAACAAAUCAGCAACUCCUCACCCUUGCCAGCAAAGCUACCUGCUCCCUGAUGGCUAGUGACAGAAGACCACAACACCCAACAGGACAGGAGAGAACUGCAAGGCGACAGUGGGAACACGGGACGAUGCAGAGCUGCUCAGUGUCAGAUGCUGAGGAUGUAGCAAGAGUGUCUUACCAGGGUGAAAAGGUCUGGGUUAGCACACAGAAAAUACCAUCCCAACAAGGAUUAAUCCUAGAGGUAAUGAGAGGACCUGAAGCAGCAUUUAGGUUUCUUCCUCUUACCUGCCAGUCACUCAGACACAUCCUCAGACUCCGUGCUGGUACAGAACCACAUCAUGCAGCAACACAACCAGAGAGGAAAGGUUUUAGUAUGGGCCCCAUCCUGAAAGCCCUCAGCACACUCGGGUGUGAAGAUGCAUCGUCAAGUCUCAGUGCCUUCUGUGCAAAGAUUAAAGACAUGCAAUAGAAUAAUAAACAAAAAUCAGACGGUUGUUUAUUAUUUACU